UACGUAGGCAGCAAGCGUUGUUCGGAGUUACUGGGCGUAAAGGGUGUGUAGGCGGUUUUCUAAGUCUGGUGUGAAAUCUCCCGGGCUCAACUGGGAGGGUGCGCCGAAAACUGGAAGGCUAGAGUGCGGGAUGGGAGAGUGGAAUUCCUGGUGUAGCGGUGAAAUGCGUAGAUAUCAGGAGGAACACCUGUGGUGUAGACGGCUCUCUGGACCGCAACUGACGCUGAGACACGAAAGCGUGGGUAGCAA
rnacentral:rRNA from 1 species